rnacentral:rRNA from 1 species
AUACGUAGGGGGCGAGCGUUGUCCGGAAUGAUUGGGCGUAAAGGGCGCGUAGGCGGCCCGGUAAGUCUGGAGUGAAAGUCCCGUUUUUAAGAUGGGAAUUGCUUUGGAUACUGUCGGGCUUGAGUGCAGGAGAGGUAAGUGGAAUUCCCAGUGUAGCGGUGAAAUGCGUAGAGAUUGGGAGGAACACCAGUGGCGAAGGCGACUUACUGGACUGUAACUGACGCUGAGGCGCGAAAGUGUGGGGAGCAAACAGGAUUAGAUACCCUGGUAGUCCACACUGUAAACGAUGAAUGCUAGGUGUAGGGGGUAUCGACCCCUUCUGUGCCGCAGUCAACACAAUAAGCAUUCCGCCUGGGGAGUACGGCCGCAAGGCUGAAACUCAAAUGAAUUGGCGGGG